rnacentral:sRNA from 1 species
AGGUUGUGAUCACCGUGUGUGACCUGACCUCUGCAAUGAGUGGCCAAAGGAAAAGGGGAGAAUAUGUAAUCUGACAGCAGAGACAUGAGUGUCCCAAGUCACCUCCUCUGUGUGGUUAGGCCGCAUUUGUUCAAGAUGAGCAGACCUGCUCUGCGCUCCCACCCCUGGGUCUCCUCCUCCUCACAGAGCGCCACACGUCGGGUGUCUAAGACAUGUGUGUUCAAAAGCCGUUAGAGCUGCCUUCAGGGAGUUGCAAGCCAGAGAUACUCCGUGCCUGAGGACCAUGGGUGGACAUGACUCUGCUGUCCUUGAGGAAGAUACUCACUGCUGCGUGUAGUUUCUGGCACGGAAUGCUGAAAAGCACAGAAAGACCUGAGGAAGCCACAGGCGAAGGGCAGACUGCCCUGUGCGCUCUGAUACAGAACAGCCCAAGCUGGGGGGCAGAGAGUGGACUCGGGGCCGUGAGCAUGCUAAGCAUGCACCCUGGGCUGGGCUACGGCUUCUGUUCUCUCCUCAUAUGACUUUUUACAAUCUUAAGAUAAGGAGCUCACUAAACUGCCCAGGCUGGCCUUGAACUUGUAGUCCUCCUGCUUCGGCCCCCAGAACACUAAGGUUACAGGCAUGUACCACUAUAAGUGGCCUUGACAGUUGUCUUGAUCAUGAGAGAACGGGUGUGGACUUCCCUUUGUUCUGAAAAGCCACACACCUCGGUAGAAGACAUGAACCUUUUGCAUGGUGGACAGCAGGCCGGAGGCUGUGAUUCCUGACAGAGGGAGCCCAUCCUUUGUGCAGGACAAAGAUCGGCUGAGACCUGGCUCUCAGCCCAAGUGGCCCUCAGCCCUUCUGAGGCCGCUAAUGAGAGGUGUCAGCCAGUAGCUCUUCACGAGAGCCCCGCUGCCCUGAGCAAUUUCUUAAAAGAAGAAUUCUAACCUCGAGGAGUCCUUUGAACACGUCGUGAAUGAGCAAUGAACACAGCCGGGGCAGCUUCUCAGAAUUACCGCGGGCUGCAGAUUCGUGAAAAGAGAGAUUGAUUUCCAUUUGGUCUACUGAAUACAUUUCCCGUGUUCUCCAGGUGUUUGUCAUGCCGUGUACUAAAGACAAAACGUGCUUCCACGGACAGCGCUGGCGUCGUCUUCACGGCAGUCAAGUAUCGAUGGUAUUGAUUGCGCUGUCCCCGCAUACACAGGCGGAUGGAUGCCCACAGCCCCCGAGUGAUGUGCAGCUCCUUGUGGGGACCUGGCCCCGACCUUCAGCUUUCUCUGCUGCUCCUAGCUCACUGUACCCAGCCCCAAGCCCAUCCCAAGACCAACCACUCAGGUAUCGUCCAGUAUGUCUGCCUCAGGCUGGUUCCUUAUCUAACCCCCUCCCUACCACUCACUACACAUUCGGGAGAACUGCUGACCAGAUGGCCUAGGCCUGCAUAAGGCGUUCGCCGUGUAGACAUUUGAUGUGUACAUGGACGAGUUAUCGAGUGUGUGAAUGAAUGGGUGUGUACUCUGGUGGAGAAUGAGGAAUGACACAGGUAGCCUCAGUUCUCUGGAGAUGGCCAUUGGAUUGGAAUCUGGGUCUUAGAUCCCUCCAGGACCCCCAGACACUGGCCAGUUAGAAGCCGGAGUCACCCCACCCCUAUGCACCCCAGAGGAAGCACCGUGACACCCCUGGAGCCAGGCUGAUCAAAGCCACCUAGCCUCUUGCACAACAGCACCCUGCGGCCUCAGGGCUCGGGAGGCAAAUUUACAAGGAACUUCCUGAAUUGCUUUCUUUUCUGUUUUAUGAAAUACCUCUCUAAAUGUCUGCAUAUAGCUCUCUUGAGGGAUGGAGGGAGAAAAAUAGCAAUUAAAGUCUUGUCAUCAGA